AUGCUUGCUUAAGAGAAGCCUGGACAGGCUCCUUCUGCUGAUUCUCUUCUAGCACUGCCAGAUCACGCAUUUCACUCCUGCCCUGCUGCUCAGGAACGUUUGUCUCUUGGUCUGUGAUUCCUAAGGCACAAUUUUCCCAGUCACCCUUAAAACUGAAGCCUUGCUCCUCUCCUCUCCUCUCCUCUCCUCUUCCUCCUGCUCUAUUUCUACCCUAGACUUGACCUUAGAACAGUCAGACUCCAAAACAUAGAAGUGGCACAAGCAGGAUUUGCUUCCUUGUUACCAGACCUGCUCAGAUCUUCGUUCCUAAAAAUGACACAUUUUCUUCCAGCAUACCAGCUUGGGGAGGACAGCAGGGUGGGCAGCUGGACGGAAAAGAGAAUGACAGUUUUGCCAGGACAGCCCAAUGACGAUGAACACAAUGAUUACUUGGAAGAGGCACAAAUUUGUUGCACACCAGCCUGGAGAACAAGAAAAGCUCCGAAACAGUGAUGGGGAAACAAGCUUGCAGGAAGACUUUCUGAGCCUGUACCACCACAGGCUGGUGGGAGAAUAGUGAACAUUCAAUGAAAAACAAAACAAAGGCAAAAAGGUGUGCAAAUGUUUUAAAAAUUAAAAAUGUUUUUUUCAGCUAUAUGCUUGGACCCAAGGGGAUUUUCAAAGAAGAAAUGCAUCUGAAUGGGACGUUCAGAACUCCCCCAUGAGAGCAAUUCCGUGUUGUGGAACAUUUUUUUUAAUGCUUUUGCCAGAACGCUUAUUUGUGUGUGACCUGUACACAAAGCAGUAAAACUUUUACACCACCUUUCAUUGUGUGUUUUAUCCCAAGAGAGGAAUGGCUAGGAAAGCUUAAAUUGUUAGGUGUAUCUGCCAACACUUCUAAUAAAAUAAUUCCCAUCAUCAUGACCAUUCAUCAUCACAGUUCCAUUAGUCCGAGCCAGUUAUAAUAAACUAAUCUGGAGAAUGAUUUCCAGGCACCUGCAGCUAAAGAGAAAAUCUUUUCUUAUCUUUUUUUUUUUUUUUUUUUUUUCCUGUAAAGGAUAGACAGACAAA